rnacentral:ncRNA from 1 species
ACAUUUCCUACUGCAUGUUUCCUUAAAUCGGAUCCGAUUUAAGGAUAAAAACAUGCAGCGAUUCAAGGUGCUACAGCGUCCUUUGCGCGUCUGAUAGACGCGCGGCGCUGUAGCAGUCAAAAAGCACCGGAAUUCAAUCGAUUCCGGUGCUUUGUUGAUUGAGGU